rfam:Oesophagostomum dentatum strain OD-Hann O_dentatum-1.0_Cont727853.1, whole genome shotgun sequence.
CCAACGGCCCUCUUUAGGGCCACAAACUGCCAACGAAUACUGUGA